ACUCGAUAGCGUAAGAGUUAACUGAAAUUUGUAUGCAGUUUGCCUACGUUUGCCGCUAGGGGCGCUGUUCCAACUGCAUACAAAUUUGAGUUAACUCUUACGCUAUCGA
rnacentral:pre_miRNA from 9 species